GGUGCAUGUGGCUUUGUAAGUCAGGUGUGAAAGCCCAGGGCUCAACCCUGGAAGUGCAUUUGAUACUGCGAAGCUUGAGUGCUGGAGAGGUAAGUAGAAUUCCUGGUGUAGUGGUGAAAUACGUAGAUAUCAGGAGGAAUACCGGAGGCGAAGGCGGCUUACUGGCCAGACACUGACACUCAGACCCGAAAGCGUGGGAUCAAACA
rnacentral:rRNA from 1 species